AGUGAACGCUGGCGGUAGGCCUAACACAUGCAAGUCGAACGGCAGCACAGUAAGAGCUUGCUCUUACGGGUGGCGAGUGGCGGACGGGUGAGGAAUACAUCGGAAUCUACUUUCUCGUGGGGGAUAACGUAGGGAAACUUACGCUAAUACCGCAUACGACCUACGGGUGAAAGCAGGGGAUCUUCGGACCUUGCGCGAUUGAAUGAGCCGAUGUCGGAUUAGCUAGUUGGCGGGGUAAAGGCCCACCAAGGCGACGAUCCGUAGCUGGUCUGAGAGGAUGAUCAGCCACACUGGAACUGAGGCACGGUCCAGACUCCUACGGGAGGCAGCAGUGGGGAAUAUUGGACAAUGGGCGCAAGCCUGAUCCAGCCAUACCGCGUGGGUGAAGAAGGCCUUCGGGUUGUAAAGCCCUUUUGUUGGGAAAGAAAAGCAGCAGGUUAAUACCCCGCUGUUCUGACGGUACCCAAAGAAUAAGCACCGGCUAACUUCGUG
rnacentral:rRNA from 1 species